UAGGGAAUUUUCCGCAAUGGGCGAAAGCCUGACGGAGCAACGCCGCGUGAGGGAUGAAGGUCUUCGGAUCGUAAACCUUUGUCUAGAGGGACGAUAAUGACGGUACCUCUGGAGGAAGCCACGGCUAACUACGUGCCAGCAGCCGCGGUAAUACGUAGGUGGCGAGCGUUGUCCGGAAUUACUGGGCGUAAAGGGCGUGUAGGCGGCCUUUUAAGUCAGACGUGAAAACCCUGGGCUUACCCCAGGACC
rnacentral:rRNA from 1 species